GAUCUCUAUUUUUUACAAAGUUUACUAAACGAUCGUAUAUAAAUUCGAAGGCGACAAAAAUUCGGCAUAAUCACUAUAGACGCAAAGCAUUCAUCAUGAAAUCUGCCAAAGUAUUUCUACUAAUAGCAAUGAUAGCAGUUAUGCUAUUAUCAGUUGCCGCCCAGAACGGUUUCGGACGCCCGGGCAGCAACAGUGGUUUCGGCGGACGACCCUCAGGUAGCCGACCAAACUUUGGCGGCAGACCUGGUUCUGGAAACAGCGGAUGGUUUGGAGGCACCAGGCCCGGCCCCAACGGACCGGGGACUGGAUUUGAAUAUUAAUAUCUGAAAAUACGGGCUUGUGAUUUGAUUUUAUGUAAACAUACUAUAGGAAUAUAUUUACUCUAAUUAUCGUAAUAAAAAAGUGCAAUCAGUUAACGCUACCAUUAUUUCUCUAUACAUAGACACCAUGUAUGUUUUAUCCUAUGAGCUUUAAUAAAUACUGCGAUUCGACAACAAACAAAUAAAUAAUAAGCAUUUUCUUCAAAUUACGAGUGACGACGCCUUUCAUAAAUAGGUUUCAUCCGCAUGCAUUGACGAAUUGCGUGUAAAUAUUAAUUGUAAAUGUGCUAAGUACCGUGAAAGUGUUAAGAAUUAAUUAAAUUGUUUUUAGUAUAUAAUUGCUACUUUAAAGUUACGCACGCAAAUCACAUUGCUAUUAUCUUAUUCAUGUAACAUCGCCCUCUUGUUUUAAAACCUUGUCCAUUGUGCAAUAUAUACUCAAUUAUGUACUCAUCUCUUGCGAAAUAUCUUCAUUUUGGCUUUCACUUGACAAAUUAACUUCUUAGAUGGUUUCGCAUUAUUUUCUUAUAAGUAAUAUAGUUUUUAUCCAAGUGUUUUCACUUAAUUAACUUUUCACAUUUUAAUUUCGAUUUUGACGCUACUGUCUCAAUUUCUGUUCAUUUAAUAAUUUUAAGUAGUAUAUAAUUUAUAAUAAUUGCAGUUAAGAUUUAAUGAUUUUAUUCGCGUUAUCGAAUUCUCUAGACAGAUGAGUAAACAUAGUCGCAUGACAUACUUGUGAUAAAAUAUCCGGAAUAUUAUUUGGAUACCAAAAUAAAUAUUAGCAGUUACAAGUUAGAAGUUCUCAAACAUUGUCAAUAGCGAUAAUAUGAAUUGAAAUAGCGUAGAUAAUAUGAAUUCGCCGACUGCCAUAUAUGAAACUGCGUAGGUACUACGAAUUCUGCAAAUUGAUAUAACAUCAUGCCAUAUGUCUUAGGAGUAAGCAGAGGUCCAUCAAAAUAUCAUCAUGUUAACAAUUGGCAAAUCACAAUGAAUAGGUCACCAACACUGCGGCAUAUUUUAUUUGAAUCAUUAGAAUUCAAUAAGAAAUGUGCCUUGCAUUAUUUAUUAUAAUAGCUAUAUUAACGCCUUGAUUGAAUAAAGUACCAAUUUUCGAUGAUUUCUAAAACUUUCUCGAAUUUUCAAGGAAAAGAUAUCUCGACUAUUCAUAAAACCUGCACAAAAUUGAUCAAUAUUAUUAACAAUACUUAAAAAUGUAUAUAAUCGCAGUUUGAGAUCAACUGAUUUCAUCGCUUCUCGGAAAACGAAUGUAAAUAUUCCAUAUAUAGAGACAUAGGUAUAGAGGUAUGUACUACGUAUUACUUCAAUGUCUAAAGCAAACAAAAGGCACAAAAAGAUCAAGCAUCGUCUAAUACACACGUACUGACUUAUGCAUAUAAUGGGAAUCUUCAAGAUGGCGCUGACGUCGUACAAUGUUUUAUAGAGUUUUGUAUCGGGAAAGGUGUUCCACGCAAACGAAGGCACGAGUGGGCAUGGCAAAGUGACGCCACUGCACCUAAUGGUAAACGGACUGGGGUCCAAUAGAAUUUUGACUUACGAGAGAUGAUUACCCCUCGACAGUCGACACAAUUAUGCCGGCCUGUUGGAAUCGAAUAUACACAGGCUGAUCCCAGGACGCGACACACUGACGUGGGCCACUAUGCUCGGUUUUAACAUCUUACGGGUAACUAAUUGUUGUUCCGCAGUUCUUAAUUAUCAGUUAUCCAAUAGCUUUACACUAUAUUGUCUUUGUUAUAUUAUUAUUAGCAUCUUAUAAAUACUUUUGCCUGGUAAAAACGCCGCUAUACGAUAAUGUGCAGGGUGAACAUUGGAAAAGUAUUCCAUACGAAACAGCUAUCAUGUAUAUAGACUGCACAUAAUGGCCUGCAUAUCCAAACAGUAGUAUAUCAAGAAAGUAAAUCAAUCGGUUUCGAAAUUAUGAACUGAAUACUGAUUACGGCCAGAAUGCAUAUAUAGUUUUAUAGAAGAAUCAUAUAAUAUAUAUAAUAGCAUAUACCUAUACUUCAGUAAUUGCAAAAGCCACGCUGUUAAUAGUUUUGGAGUCUCCGAUAUUUCUAACUGUACAAAGCAAGGAAAAAUCUCUCCUCGUAGAACAUUCUAGAAGCUAGGUAAUGAUAAUUAUCAUAAUUUAUAGUAUUACCACCUUAUUGGUCCUAUGUCAACGCACUACGAAGGCUGCCAUGCCGUCAGCAGUGAGAAACCGAUUUGUUAUCAGAGCAAUGCUCCGUCCUAAGAUAAAUAACGUCUAUGAAUAAGAGGGUUAGAUAAUAAUAUGACAUCGUAUACACACUCAUCGACAGUCAGUAGUAUAUGACUCAUUAGCCUUUUUACUUUCUAUAAUUUUAGUAACACGUGAAAUGAAAUGAAAUAAAAUUAUUUAUUUGAAUCCGUAAAAUGUUAUACAUUAUUUAGAUUCCGUCAAUAUUAGCUCUACCACCAGUUCGGAAAGCAGUUCUCACCAGAGAAGAAAGGGCAAGAAAUUCUGGUGUUGCUCGUCUCAAAAUCAGUUUAAGGUAAAGACUACAAUACAUGAUACGGAGAGGAGAAAAAAAACACAGUUGUUUUUUAUUGUUGUUUGGAGCAUUUCAUUUAUAUUCUCGUAAAAUAAGGAAUAAAUUAAUUGAAAUUUUUAUAUGAAUGCACAACCCUCUCAGGAAUCAUGAUUUUCUUCUUUCCUCUUUUUUUUUCUUCUUUAGUACAUGGUACAGAAUGGUACAAAAAUCAAAAGCAUAAUAAUAACUUCCUCAUACAUCGUAAAAUGUCAAUGUAGCGUGUAGAAUAAUAUAUAAUGUUUCUAUUAAAAUACAGAUCGAUAGUUGUUAGCAGGAAAAAUGAUUUAUCGUCUUGAGCUAGAAUAAAUAUUAUUAUGUAAGUGCGCGCAUCACAAUAAAAACAUAAGCCGUCUGACGCAGAAGCUGCUUUGUGACUAAAGUGUUAUUUAUGUUUUUUAAACUAUCUUAACUGUUUUUUACUAAGAUUAUCUUGACUGAGUUUGUUACUAAAGAACCGUAUUUACAUACACUUAGAUCUAACAUUGCGUAUCCAAGCACAACAAAAAGGAAACACUAUUUUGAAACACUUGAGAAAGUCUAUUUACUUUAAAUCCACGUAACGUACGAAUUUACAGUGUAGAGCUAAUACAUUUUAGUCACGAUACACCAAAGUACCAUAAUAUUCGCAUAAAAGAAAGUUGAGCCGUGUGGGGAUGAUUGGUAUUCCGACGAGGCAAAUAAACAGACAGUAGUGUUAAAGUUGUCAUUUGUAUCGCAGUUAAAAAUAGAAUCAAUAAUGAUAAAAAGGAAAACAAUUUUGAGGUUAUAGCAAACAAUUUAAUGAUAAUGAUGUGAAGUGAAUUUAGGAAAGCGAUAGUGAAUUGGACUUCUUCUGAACGUUGUUUUUAAAAAUAAGUAUUAUCCGUUAUUUGAUAUAUAAUUUUGAGUGAAUACUAACAAUUGUUUAUGAAGGAUUGUUAUUCGAAUAAAAAUAAAGAACCAUGGCAGGCGUAAAACUUCUUUUUACAAUUAUCGUCAUAGCAAUGGUGAUAUCGACUUGCAAAGGGGGUAUUUUAGAAAAUAUAUUCCAAUACAUCUUCCAGCAAGCGACGGGCAAGCGCAGUAUCUCAGAAGCCAUCACGGAUUACCUCGACGUGGCAUUUCCUAAGGACGAUAAAGAGACAAGGGUAAUGAAACACAUAUUUAUGAUGCUUUCUGAUGAAGGUGAU